rfam:Triticum aestivum genome assembly, contig: Triticum_aestivum_CS42_TGACv1_scaffold_526963_6DL
AAGUUACUUCCUUCGUCCGGAAAAAACUUGUCUCAAUCUUGUCUCUCAAAUGGAUGUAUCUAACACUAACUUGGUGUUAGAUACAUCCAUUUGAAGGACAAGUUUUCUCGGACGAAGGGACUACGUA